rnacentral:rRNA from 1 species
UACGGAGGGGGCAAGCGUUAUCCGGAUUCACUGGGUUUAAAGGGUGCGUAGGUGGGCAGGUAAGUCAGUGGUGAAAUCUCUGGGCUUAACCCGGAAACUGCCGUUGAUACUAUCUGUCUUGAAUAUAGUGGAGGUGAGCGGAAUAUGUCAUGUAGCGGUGAAAUGCUUAGAUAUGACAUAGAACAUCGAUUGCGAAGGCAGCUCGCUACACUAUGAUUGACACUGAGGCACGAAAGCGUGGGGAUCAAACAGG